GCCUGAUUAGCAUAGUGGCUAAUGCGUUGCACUUGUACCGAACCUCCUCCCAGAGUUCUUGACAACAUGCAAAGAUCGCAGGUUCGAUUCCUGCAUUAGGCA